rnacentral:lncRNA from 1 species
CAGCACACUGGCAGAGCUUGGAAGAGGACUAAGCCUCAGAUGAGACAGCAGCCCCGGUUGGUGCCCUAAUUUUCACUUGAUCCCUUAUAUUCUUCGAAAGAAAUAUUGAUAACAUCUACUCAAUAGUAAUUCAUAGGAGACCAUGAAUCCAUGGAAAUUUUCUACAUCUAGUGACAUAAAAAUUGAGAUCUUUUAUGGAUAAAUAUGCAGUUUUACCAAAAGAAAAGGUGAACUUUACAGGGGAAUUUUUUCCAGUACACAAGUAAGGGUAUUCACACAAGGACACUGUAAUGAUAUAGCUUACCACGACCAGAAAUAAAGUGCUGUGUAUAUGUUAUCAUUAUUUAUGGGUCUAUGGAAAACCCAGCAGUGGAGAUGAGUCCAAUGAUGAGUAAUGAAGAUACGUAUGUUAUAGUUGUUGUCUUGAAUUUGGUUCCUCCGUUGCAUUUGUCCAAAGAACUGAAGAUCAGGAAGUAUAAAAAUAACAGGACUCUACAAAUAUUUUUAAAAUUUCUAGACUGUACUUGA